GUUAGUGUGAUUAUUUUACCUAAGACAGUAGGAGUUAGAAAUAACUUAAAAUUUAUCCUACCGAGGCUAAAAUUGACUUGAACGUGAUUAAUGAAAGUUUCAAGCACUUUUUGCCGUGGGUAGAAAGUGCUUUUUUUAUUGAGUU
rfam:Staphylococcus pettenkoferi VCT012 contig00130, whole genome shotgun sequence.